AGUUGAGCAGACUAUUGGCUCAAUAAGAAUUGUCGCAUCAUUUACUGGAGAAAAGCAAGCCAUAAGUAAUUAUGAGAAGUUUCUUGUCACAGCUUACAAUGCUGGUGUUCAUGAGGGUUUCUUCAGUGGAUUGGGUCUUGGCCUAUUCACACUAAUCAUUUUCUGCAGUUAUUCCUUAGCAAUAUGGUUUGGAGGAAAGAUG
rnacentral:misc_RNA from 1 species